rnacentral:rRNA from 1 species
GGUGGGAGGCUUUGAAGCGUGGACGCCAGUCUGCGUGGAGCCGACCUUGAAAUACCACCCUUUAAUGUUUGAUGUUCUAACGUGGACCCGUUACCCGGGUUGCGGACAGUGUCUGGUGGGUAGUUUGACUGGGGCGGUCUCCUCCUAAAGAGUAACGGAGGAGCACGAAGGUUGGCUAAUCCUGGUCGGACAUCAGGAGGUUAGUGCAAUGGCAUAAGCCAGCUUGACUGCGAGCGUGACGGCGCGAGCAGGUGCGAAAGCAGGUCAUAGUGAUCCGGUGGUUCUGAAUGGAAGGGCCAUCGCUCAACGGAUAAAAGGUACUCCGGGGAUAACAGGCUGAUACCGCCCAAGAGUUCAUAUCGACGGCGGUGUUUGGCACCUCGAUGUCGGCUCAUCACAUCCUGGGGCUGAAGUAGGUCCCAAGGGUAUGGCUGUUCGCCAUUUAAAGUGGUACGCGAGCUGGGUUUAGAACGUCGUGAGACAGUUCGGUCCCUAUCUGCCGUGGGCGCUGGAGAACUGAGGGGGGCUGCUCCUAGUACGAGAGGACCGGAGUGGACGCAUCACUGGUGUUCGGGUUGUCAUGCCAAUGGCACUGCCCGGUAGCUAAAUGCGGAAGAGAUAAGUGCUGAAAGCAUCUAAGCACGAAACUUGCCCCGAGAUGAGUUCUCCCUGAGACUUUAGGUCUCCUGAAGGAACGUUGAAGACGACGACGUUGAUAGGCCGGGUGUGUAAGCGCAGCGAUGCGUUGAGCUAACCGGUACUAAUGAACCGUGAGGCUUAACCUUACAACGCCGAAG